rnacentral:rRNA from 1 species
AUGCAAGUCGAACGGUAGAGGGGGCAACCCCUUGAGAGUGGCGAACGGGUGAGUAAUAUAUCGGAACGUGCCCAGUCGUGGGGGAUAACGUAGCGAAAGUUACGCUAAUACCGCAUACGAUCUAAGGAUGAAAGCGGGGGACUCGCAAGAGCCUCGCGCGAUUGGAGCGGCCGAUAUCAGAUUAGGUAGUUGGUGGGGUAAAGGCUAACCAAGCCAACGAUCUGUAGCUGGUCUGAGAGGACGACCAGCCACACUGGAACUGAGACACGGUCCAGACUCCUACGGGAGGCAGCAGUGGGGAAUUUUGGACAAUGGACGCAAGUCUGAUCCAGCCAUUCCGCGUGCAGGAUGAAGGCCCUCGGGUUGUAAACUGCUUUUGUACGGAACGAAAAGGUUUGUCUUAAUACGAUGAGCUCAUGACGGUACCGUAAGAAUAAGCACCGGCUAACUACGUGCCAGCAGCCGCGGUAAUACGUAGGGUGCAAGCGUUAAUCGGAAUUACUGGGCGUAAAGCGUGCGCAGGCGGUUAUGUAAGACAGAGGUGAAAUCCCCGGGCUCAACCUGGGAACUGCCUUUGUGACUGCAUAGCUAGAGUACGGUAGAGGGGGAUGGAAUUCCGCGUGUAGCAGUGAAAUGCGUAGAUAUGCGGAGGAACACCGAUGGCGAAGGCAAUCCCCUGGACCUGUACUGACGCUCAUGCACGAAAGCGUGGGGAGCAAACAGGAUUAGAUACCCUGGUAGUCCACG